UACGUAGGGUGCAGGCGUUAAUCGGAAUUACUGGGCGUAAAGCGUGCGCAGGCGGUUUGCUAAGACAGGUGUGAAAUCCCCGGGCUUAACCUGGGAACUGCGCUUGUAACUGGCAAGCUUGAGUGUGGCAGAGGGGGGUGGAAUUCCACGUGUAGCAGUGAAAUGCGUAGAGAUGUGGAGGAACACCGAUGGCGAAGGCAGCCCCCUGGGCUAACACUGACGCUCAUGCACGAAAGCGUGGGGAGCGAACAGG
rnacentral:rRNA from 1 species